rnacentral:rRNA from 1 species
AGGAAGGUUUUUGGAUCGUAAACCCCUUUUGUCAAGGAAGAAGCUCUGACGGUACUUGACGAAUAAGCCUCGGCUAACUCCGUGCCAGCAGCCGCGGUAAUACGGAGGAGGCAAGCGUUAUCCGGAAUGAUUGGGCGUAAAGCGUCUGUAGGUGGCCAGCUAAGUCUGCUGUUAAAGAUCACAGCUCAACUGUGGGAAGGCAGUGGAAACUGGCAAGCUAGAGGUUGGUAGGGGUAAAGGGAAUUCCCGGUGUAGCGGUGAAAUGCGUAGAUAUCGGGAAGAACACCGGUGGCGAAAGCGCUUUACUGGGCCAGACCUGACACUGAAGGACGAAAGCUAGGGGAGCGAAAGGGAUUAGAUACCCCUGUAGUCA